UACGUAGGGUGCAAGCGUUUGUCCGGAAUUAUUGGGCGUAAAGAGCUCGUAGGCGGUCUGUCGCGUCUGCUGUGAAAACUCGGGGCUUAACCCCGGGCCUGCAGUGGGUACGGGCAGACUAGAGUGCGGUAGGGGAGAAUGGAACUCCUGGUGUAGCGGUGGAAUGCGUAGAGAUCCGGAAGAACACCGGUGGCGAAGGCGGGUCUCUGGGCCGAUACUGACGCUGAGGAGCGAAAGCGUGGGGAGCGAACAGG
rnacentral:rRNA from 1 species